rnacentral:rRNA from 1 species
AUGUCGUUACCUCCGUCCACCACGGGCGCCGCCGCCCCCGCCCCUGCACUCCACCGCCGCGCCCAGCCUUCUUCCCGUUGCGGCUGCUCCGCAUCGCAUCCACCCGCCGCCGUGGCACCCCAACCUGUUGCUUUCCCAACCCUUGAACCUUCACUGCUAGUUGACCUUCUCGCACAGGCCACCUCGACCUUCCUCGGAAGGUUGCUUCCAGGGAUCGGCCUCGGUGCCUCCAGUCGGCCGCCAUGGAUUCCGCACGGACAAGGCGACGUCAACCGCAGUAGGGAUUCCUGCGUGGCUGGCCUACUCAUAACCCCAUGGGAUCCGCAAGCUUUUCCUCCCACGUCCGUGCCUUGUCUUCCUGUGGGCAGCCGUUGCUGCUGA